CCUACGGGCGGCAGCAGUGAGGAAUAUUGGUCAAUGGACGGAAGUCUGAACCAGCCAUGCCGCGUGCAGGAAGACGGCUCUAUGAGUUGUAAACUGCUUUUGUACAAGGAUAAACCUUAAUACGUGUAUUCAUCUGUAAGUACUUUACGAAUAAGGAUCGGCUAACUCCGUGCCAGCAGCCGCGGUAAUACGGAGGAUCCAAGCGUUAUCCGGAUUUAUUGGGUUUAAAGGGUGCGUAGGCGGAUUUGUAAGUUAGAGGUGAAAUGUUGGGGCUUAACUCGGGAACUGCCUCUAAUACUGUUGAUCUAGAGAGUAGAUGCGGUAGGCGGAAUGUGUGGUGUAGCGGUGAAAUGCUUAGAGAUCAUACAGAACACCGAUUGCGAAGGCAGCUUACCAAUCUAUAUCUGACGUUGAGGCACGAAAGCGUGGGGAGCAAACAGGAUUAGAUACCCUGGUAGUC
rnacentral:rRNA from 1 species